ACGGAAGUCGUUAUAAAAAGGAUUGAGGAUUUAUCUGAUUGAGAUUUUAUAACAAUGGCUUUAGUGGCGGACUGGUGAGUAACGCGUGAGCAACCUGCCUACUAGAGGGGAAUAACAGUGAGAAAUCAUUGCUAAUACCGCAUAUGCCAUGAACAUCACAUGAUGAAAGUGGGAAAAGAGUAAUCUGCUAGUAGAUGGGCUCGCGUCUGAUUAGAUAGUUGGUGGGGUAACGGCCUACCAAGUCGACGAUCAGUAGCCGGACUGAGAGGUUGAACGGCCACAUUGGGACUGAGAUACGGCCCAGACUCCUACGGGAGGCAGCAGUCGGGAAUAUUGCGCAAUGGAGGAAACUCUGACGCAGUGACGCCGCGUAUAGGAAGAAGGUUUUCGGAUUGUAAACUAUUGUCGUUAGGGAAGAUACAAGACAGUACCUAAGGAGGAAGCUCCGGCUAACUACGUGCCAGCAGCCGCGGUAAUACGUAGGGAGCAAGCGUUAUCCGGAUUUAUUGGGUGUAAAGGGUGCGUAGACGGGAAAGCAAGUUAGUUGUGAAAUCCCUCGGCUUAACUGAGGAACUGCAACUAAAACUGUUUUUCUUGAGUGUUGGAGAGGAAAGUGG
rnacentral:rRNA from 1 species